UAAUAAAUUAUAAAGUACUAGUAAAUAUACUUAACUUUGUUUACCAUAAUCCAAACUCCUCCCAUUUCAUGUUAUACAAAAUUAGUAAAAAAAUCUGUGAACUUGUCAUCUAAACAAUAACAUACAUCCCAAACACACAAUCAAUGGUUCCUAUGCUAUGAUUUUAACUCCCAAUUCAGCUUCUGCAAACUCCACAAGGUUCUGCAUUUCGCUCUCAUCAAUAAAUCCAUCGUUGUUCCUGUCCGCCGAUCUUAUCCCUCGCUGCACUUUCCACCUGCAGAACCAACCUCCGUUGGCUCGAACACCUUCUUGCAGCUCAGCUCUGCUUAUCCGACCAUCCCGGUCUCCGUAAAAUCGCUUCAACCAUCGUUUGAACUCGUCGAUGGUCAUCUCACGCUUGCCAUCUCGGGUUUGAAUUGAUUGAACACAUUUGAAUGCCAUUCUAGCUGCACUAAUAGAGCUGAUGUCCCGAGUUCGUUACAACAAAUAAGCCUUUUUACGACGGAUAUAUAUAUCGAGUUUACUGAUGAUGAAAUUCGUGGAGUUGUCUAUCGAAUUUAUAUAUUGAUACGAGUAAGUGGAGUACUCGUUUAUGAAUCUUAUAAUACUAUAGAUAAUUAUGUGCAUGGUUAAUGUGUUUGUUGCUUAAAUAUUUGUAUAUAGUUAAUUAAACUAUAAUCACCAGAAUAAAGUGGGCAUAUAAGUGGAUGAUAGCAGUGCGCGUUCAACUUUAAUUUUUUUCCCCCGAACUGCGCGUUCAAUUUUCAGUGGUGCUGGGAUUUGAUUCUAAUUUGAAAAGAAUAUGUCACAAGCUCACAGGGAGAUUGACAUGUACUCCUCUCUGUUUUCGAUUUUCUGUCAUAUAUUUUUAAAUAUUUGAAUUAAGAAAUAUUAAUUUUGAUUUAACUUUUUGUAAAUGAUUAUAUAUAUUGUAUAUUUUUAUUAGUCAAAUUAUUUAGACAUGUGUGCCAAAAAUCGAACAAUUUAAGUGGGAAUACAUGUAUAUAUUCGAUAUACUUACCGUAAACGUAUUCGGUGGAAAAUAUUAAGUACGCCAUUUAAAGUUUGUUUGACAUUAAAUUAAAAAAAUGUUCAUGUGACAAACCAUUUGUAAUUAAGAUCGUGUAAUUUAAAGUUAAGAUUUGCUUAGGUGUAUUUUUGUAAAUAACUUAGUUUAUUUUUAUGAUAUUUUUAUAAAAAUAAUUUUAUCAUUUAAAGACUAAAUUAUCUUUUAAUUAUGCGUUUAUACAUUAUUAAAUCAUAUAUCAUCCCUGCUUACGAAUCAUGAGUUUAAGCUUUACAAGAACGGUAUCUGAUUCUGAUCUACUCUGCUGGAUACGUACGUUGUUAAUUUAUUGUAUUGCUGCUUAGAUUACUAACCAAUUGUCGGCCUUGAUUUAUUAGAGACCCGUCCGAUUCGAUUGUUCUAGAUUUAAUAAUGUACUAUAAGCACAGACCUCUCAUAAUUCCUUUGUUUUUUAUCAAGCUUAGAUUUCAUUUUGCUUUGUUUGAUAAAGCAAAUUAUUCUUUUGAGUAUAAGAAAAAAGGGAGUAAUCCGGUCCGAUUUUAGUAUUGUUCCUAUAUGAAUACUUAAUAUUCUAUGAUUCAUUAUACAACACAAGUCUCUUGAUUUUAUCCACAUAUUUUUAAUAAAUUUGAGUUUAUAGUUUAAAAUUUUAUUUUUAACUUAUUCUGGAUAAAAGUUAUAUAAAUAUGAACGGUUUUAAAAAGGUUUUUUACUCAUCAGAACUCAAUAUUGAUAAAAGGAAGUCUGUAUUAUCGAAAUUUGAUGUAAUUGCAAAGAGAAUUGAGUUCAACUCUUUAAUUAUUAUUAAAAAAAUCGAGGUUCAUUAGAUUUAAAUUUAAUUAUAAAGAGACUCAAGUUUAACUCUCCACCAUGAACCCUAAGACUAGGGAAACUGCAUGCUGAUCUUUUUCGAAUAAUAUAUAAGAAAUAAUUCUCGUACAGGAAUGCCUCAAGGAAAUGACAACAGCCAUGAAUCUAUGUUAUCAAAUAUUAAUUUCACAAAUACAAUCAACAAUAAACAUUCAAAACACCAGAAUCACUGAAUAAUAUUAUGCUCUAAUUUUUAAACCGAAUUCAGCUUGUGCAAACUCCACAAGGUUUUUCAUUUCAGUCUCAUCGAUAAAUCCAUCAUUGUUGCCGUCUGCCAAUCCUAUCCCCCGGUGCACCUUCCACCUAGAGAACCGGCCUCCGUUGGCUCGAACAGCUUCCCGGAGCUCAGCUUUGCUUAUCCGGCCAUCUCUAUCGCCGUCGAAUCUCUUCAACCAUCGUUUGAACUCCUCGAUUGUCAUCUCGCGUUUGCCAUCUCUGCCUUGAAUUGAUCGAACACAUUUGAAUGCCAUAGUGUUUGUACUUGAUAGAGCUGAUUUAGUUUCUAUUGUGAAGUUUAUUAUACUACAGAAUGGAUGAAAUUUAUAGACCUCUUUGUCUACUUUAUAUAGUACAAUCAAGGAGCUAGUGGAGCACUCC
rnacentral:lncRNA from 1 species